rnacentral:tRNA from 1 species
ACACCGAGAAGAUAUCCAUGCAAAUUGGAUCGCCCUGA